UUUUGCUUUUUUCGGGUCAGAUUUUGGACCAUUUUGGAGUUAGUUUUUGGGGUGAUUUGGGCCAGUUUUGUGUCAGUUCUGGAUCAAUUUUUGGGGUGAUUUGGGUGAGUUUUUGGGUCAUUUUGUGGGGAGAUCUGAGUCAGUUUCUGGUCAUUUUUUGGGGAGAUUUGUUUGAGUUUCUGGUCAUUUUUUGGGGAGAUUUGGGUGAGUUUUGGGGUAAUUUUUUGGGGUAAUUUUGGGUGAGUUUCUGGUCAUUUUUUGGGGAGACUUGGCUGACUUUUGGGUCAUUUUUUUGGGAGAUUUGGGUGAGUUCUGGGUCAUUUUUUGGGGUAAUUUUGGGUCUGUUUCUGGUCAUUGUUUGGGGAGAUUUGGGUGAGUUCUGGGUCAUUUUUGGGGGUAAUUUUGGGUCAGUUUCUGGUCCUUUUUUGGAGGAGAUUUGGGUGAGUUCUGGGUCAUUUUUUGGGGAGAUUUUGGGUCUGUUUCUGGUCAUUUUUUGGGGAGAUUUGGGUGAGUUCUGGGUCAUUUUUGGGGGUAAUUUUGGGUCAGUUUCUGGUCAUUUUUUAGGGAGAUUUUUAUCACUUUUGGGUCAUUUUUGGGGUAAUUUU